UCCCCUUCUCACUCACUCUCUCUUUCUAUCAUCUCCCCUCACUCUCUCUUUCUCUCCUCUCUUGCUCUCCACUCCUCCUCGGGCGGCGGUGGCAGGAGCUGGCGGCGUCAAGGGGGGCUCUCGGCCGCCUCGGGCUCUGGCCUGGAGCUGGCGGUGGCUGGGGCGGCUCUGCCUGGAGCUAACGGCGGCGGGGGCGACGACCUCGGCGAAGAGUGGGCGGUGGCGGGCCUCGUCUCACUCGGAUCCGGAGGCGGCAGGCCUUGUCCUGCUCGGAUCCGGCGACGGCGGGCCUCGUCCCGCCCGGAUCCGGUAGCGGCCUCGGGGGAAGAGUGGGCGGCGACCUCGUUGACCUUGGGGGAAGAGUGGGUGGCGGCGCCAUCGCCAUCUCCUCCUCACCGCCGACGACGAGGAGGUGGCCAGAUGCAGCCCCUUCGUCGCCGCCUCGCCGCCCUAUUCAUCCCCCCACCCCCCGGGGCGGGUACCGGCGCCUCGGCUCCUCCGCCUCCGUGUCCACGACAACGGAUGUGAUUUGGGUGGAGGUUGGGACGACGAAGGGGGAUAGGAGCUUAUUCCAUGUCGAUUCGGCCGUGCUUGAGACCGGGUCGGUGCGGCGCUUCCUCGCGGUGGCUGGGCAGCGGGCCCGCGGCGGUGCGGUGGCGGUCGCCAUGGACGCGCUGCUGUUCGAGCACCUGCUGUGGCUGCAGGCGGUGGGUACAUGAGCUCAAGCUUGCCAUGAAGCCGGUGCAAUUCUUCUCCAGCUCCAGUGGGCUGGCGCCCCUUCUGCAUCUCGAUGUGGAUGGGUUCAGUGGCCUCUUACCCUAAUCCCCCACCUCGUGCUCUUUUCUCUCGCUCUUCAUGGCGUGGCAAACCAGCGCCCAGCGGUGCCGCCGUGCUGCGCGUGUGGUGGCCUGACGAUGGCUCAAAGCAGAACAUAGCGCCAGAUUUGGUCAAGCCCUCCAGAUUUUCCCUUUACAUGGUGAUAAAACUAGCUAUAAUGGUUGUAUUUUUUUGGUCGAACUGCAAACAUUUCAGUGUUGGUAUCGUUGCAUGAAUUUUGUUUACGAAUGUUCUAUGGUUCACAUGUGCAGCUGCCCAUUGCCAUUCUUCCUUCUCUGACAUUAUCUAUGAAGUAUGUAUUUUUUUUCCUUGAAGAUUUAUAUA